rnacentral:rRNA from 1 species
GACGAACGCUGGCGGCGUGCUUAACACAUGCAAGUCGAACGGUGAAGCCCUUCGGGUUGGAUCAUUGGCGAACGGGUGAGUAACACGUUAGCAACCUGCCCCCGUCCCUGGGACAACCACUUGAAACGGUGGCUAAUACCGGAUUCGCCCCGCCUCUGCAUCGAGGGUUGGUGGAAAGUUUUUCGGCUGGGGAUGGGCUCGCGGCCUAUCAGCUUGUUGGUGAGGUGAAGGCUCACCAAGGCGACGACGGGUAGCCGGCCUGAGAGGGCGACCGGCCACACUGGGACUGAGACACGGCCCAGACUCCUACGGGAGGCAGCAGUGGGGAAUAUUGCACAAUGGGCGAAAGCCUGAUGCAGCGACGCCGCGUGAGGGAUGACGGCCUUCGGGUUGUAAACCUCUUUCAGCUCCGAAGAAGCGAAAGUGACGGUAGGAGCAGAAGAAGCACCGGCUAACUACGUG